rnacentral:lncRNA from 10 species
CUGGCGGCGCCUCUGCUUGAGUUUUGCUCGCGCCUGCUGGUCUUGUUCCACUCGAUUGGCCCUGCAGGCUGUGCUCAGAGAUACCAGCCUGGAUCCCACGCCUGCCAAGGGUGAGCCAGGCGUGGAGCAGAGUUGGGUGUGUGAGCAAGUGAGCGCAGGGUCCGGCCACUGAGCACAGUGAGGCAUGCCAGGUGCUGCGGUGGGGCAGGCAGCUCCAGGCGCUGGCACAGGCACUGGCUCUGUGCAAAGCUGUGGCUGAACCAGAGGUACCGCAAGCGGCUUUUGCUGCCAGCACCGGCGUCUGGACAAGGGGAACAUGGUGGCGCCUGAAAGCUCAGAGAUGCCAGGAAUCACAGAGCCCCCAAAGAGGGUGUUAUAGCAGGUCACAGUCCUGGCUCCGGGAGCCCUGAGGUCUGGGCUCCCAGAAGGGCUGCAGCUCUUCUCUCCUUCUCGUUGCCCACAGCAUGGGAAUCUCUGCAUAUAGCUACAAAGUCACCCAGGGAAGGACAAGCUCAUGGAGGGCUCUUUCCUGCCCAUUCGCCUCAUUUAAGUGCAGCCAUCCUUCAGGCCCUUGGUUAAGCUUCCAAGGACCCUAUGGGUCAAGGUGAAGCCAUCAGUGUCUACAGCUUCAGCUAUUGCCCGUGUGCAGAUGGUGCUUAAUCUCUCUUGUGCCUUCCAGACCUGCAUUCCAGCCACCUACCAAACCCCUUUCUGUGGAUGCCAAGAAAAGUCUUCAGACCGUGGACAAUGUGCUCUUUGCCCCUAUUAUGGAGAAAGGUGUUCCCUAGGAUGAUGACACAAGGAUUUAAUGAGUAGAAGACAACAACUUAAAACCUCUCAUUUGAGCAUGAAUUGUCUAGGUUAAAGGUAGGCAUUGAGAUCCCAUUAGCUACUGGCACACUUGGGAAAAGAAAUGUACACAUGCACAGACACACUUUAAAGCAAGACUUCAUAAAAAUACAGCGAUGCCUGUUUCUACUCAGACCCAAAAAUGGAAUUAAAGCCAAAACUUACAACCCCUCUACUAAUUAGAGAAGUAAAAAUGUCUUCACCCCAAGUGUCCCAGCACAACGUGAAACCGAAACAAGCUGCCUUUCUUUGGAUUCCACUUAUUUAUUUAUGUUUAAAAGAAUAUUUGAAGAAAAGGACGCCUAGUAAAAGAACAGUUGGAGAAAACAUGGGACACCAUACAUUGGAAGAGAAAUGUAGAUGAAGUACACAGCUACAACAGGGAUAUUUUUUUUCUUGUUGAAACACAUGAUAAUGGGCUAAUAAAAAUCUGGUUACCUUUACAUUUCUUCUCCUCCGUUUGGAAGGUCUGGGCACUUGAGACACUCUGGUCGUUCACAUCAUCAUGGUCCAGAUGGAAUAUUG